CUAGUACUCUUUCCGUCUCAAAAUUCUUGUCUUAAAUUUGUUUAUAUAUGAAUAUAUGUAGUCAAAUUUUAGCAUUUAGAUACAUUCAUUUCUAGACAAAGCUAAGACAUGAAUUUUGAGACGGAGGAAGUACUCU
rnacentral:pre_miRNA from 1 species